GCGGGGUAAAGGCCCAACUUAGGCAACGAUCGGUAGCUGGUCUGAGAGGAUGAUCAGCCACACUGGGACUGAGACACGGCCCAGACUCNUACGGGAGGCAGCAGUGGGGAAUUUUGGACAAUGGGGGCAACCCUGAUCCAGCCAUGCCGCGUGAGUGAAGAAGGCCUUCGGGUUGUAAAGCUCUUUCGGUGGGAACGAAACGGUGGAAGUUAAUACCUUCCACUACUGACGGUACCUACAGAAGAAGCACCGGCUAACUACGUGCCAGCAGCCGCGGUAAUACGUAGGGUGCGAGCGUUAAUCGGAAUUACUGGGCGUAAAGCGUGCGCAGGCGGCUUGCUAAGACAGGUGUGAAAGCCCCGGGCUUAACCUGGGAAUGGCGCUUGUGACUGGCAAGCUGGAGUGUGGCAGAGGGAGGUGGAAUUCCACGUGUAGCAGUGAAAUGCGUAGAGAUGUGGAGGAACACCGAUGGCGAAGGCAGCCUCCUGGGCCAGCACUGACGCUCAUGCACGAAAGCGUG
rnacentral:rRNA from 1 species